GACAAUAGUUUUAAGUUGAAUCAAUGCAGACAAUAUCAUUAACUGAUGCUCAUUAGCUAGUUGAUACAUUUGUCUUUUAAAAUAUAACUGACAUAUAAGGAUCGUAUUGGUGCAAUGUGGAUAAAUUUAUCGGUUUCCAAGAGCAAAAUUGGUAGCGCGUCAUCGCUACAAUGGCUUCCAUUUUUACGAUUGUGAAAAUGAACUGGCGUAAUGGGGAGAUAAUUUUGACGAAGUAGGAUCCUGACUGAACUCUUGU
rnacentral:lncRNA from 1 species